rnacentral:rRNA from 1 species
CCUACGGGGGGCAGCAGUGAGGAAUAUUGGUCAAUGGGCGUGAGCCUGAACCAGCCAAGUAGCGUGAAGGAUGAAUGCCCUACGGGUUGUAAACCUCUUUUAUAAAGGAAUAAAGUGAGGCACGUGUCCCUUUUUGUAUGUACUUUAUGAAUAAGGAUCGGCUAACUCCGUGCCAGCAGCCGCGGUAAUACGGAGGAUCCGAGCGUUAUCCGGCUUUAUUGGGUUUAAAGGGAGCGUAGGUGGGUUGUUAAGUCAGCUGUGAAAGUUUGCGGCUCAACCGUAGAAUUGCCGUUGAUACUGGGAGGCUUGAGUAGGUUUGAGGUAGGCGGAAUGCGUGGUGUAGCGGUGAAAUGCUUAGAUAUCACGAAGAACCCCGAUUGCGAAGGCAGCUUGCCAAGCUAUGACUGACGCUGAUGCACGAAAGCGUGGGGAUCAAACAGGAUUAGAUACCCCGGUAGUC